rnacentral:lncRNA from 1 species
GUGGUUAUCUCUACAUCUCUAGCCUCAAAGGCUGGAGACUAUGCAGACUCACCUGCACCCCAGUGGCUUAAUAUGAAGAUAUUUUUCAUUGAGGAAAGACAUUCCUAUACAAAUGAAUUUGAGAUCAAUUUAUAACUAAUGUUUUUAGCUAAUGGAUAGUAGUACCACUAAUCAGUCAAGGGCACUUAGGGUCUCUCUCCCUGUGCCCAAUCAAUGUUUUAGAUGGUGACAUGAGCACAGGACUUUUAACAUUGCCACUGCACUCCAGCCUGGGCGGCAGAGUGACACUCCAUUUCAAAAUGAAUGAAUGAAUGAAUGAAUGAGUGAAUGUAAUCCACCCUAUCAUUAAACUUCGUCCUAGUACUGCUGCUUUUCUUUUUUUUUUUUUUUUUCAAGCUCUAGUUUCACUACUUACUGGAGAUGUUACUUUGGCAAAGCCUUUGAGAAUGUAAAACAGGGAAGACACUUCAUAGAGUGGCUGCAAGGUGGCUGGACAUGGAGUGCAUGCUUAACAUGUUUCUUUUCUCUCCUUCCCUGUUUUAAGAGAUGAAAUACGCAUGCUGUCUCUCUCCCAGAGUAGCUGUGAAAUAAGAAAGUGAUAAGUGCUAACAAAUAUAUGGUACUCUUGUUAUUAACCUGCCAUAAAUAGAUUCUGCUCUGCAGAAUCAUGAAA